UCUUGUCCACUUUCAGCCUUUGGGGCUUGGUGCUUGUAGAGUCUUUGUGGAUGUUGUGAAGGUGAAAGAUGCAUCUGUGUGGAGGACUUCAUCUGAGAUUGAGUAUAUGGAAGAUGCACUUGGAAGCACUCUUGCUUGGCCAGAGGAUAAAAUUAUAACGGUGAGAGUUUUGUUUAUUUUUUUGUUCUUUCUCACUUGGAAGCACUCUUGCAUAAAUGUGAACCGAAGGUUAUGUCUUUCUUUUCAGGUUUGACAAAAGAGCAGAAGGAACCAGACAACUAUUUAAGUUCUUGUUGACAUAAAUGACUUGGUGUUUGCUGUUUCAGAACAUGGCUUUUGUUUUUCAAUUACUCGGUGUUUCUCUUUUUUUCAUGUGUCGGAUGGAUUGAAAUGUUUGUAUGGUUUGAAUGAUUUACUUAAGUUAAGACUUUAUGCUAUUGUGUUUGAUCCAUUUUAUCAUUUCAGUUUUACAAAGGCCCAAUAAGAUAAAUGUCCAUAUCUAGUUUACAAAGAACAAAUCACUAUUCUCGGUUUAGGGCAAGGAUAGGGGUUAGGAUUCUCAUGUUUUUGUUAGUGAUUAGGUUUAGAGAUUUCUUCUAAGAUUUAUUCUAAUUAUAGUUUUGAGGUCUUUUUAAAGAAACUAUAACACACAUUAAGACAAAAUUAUAUGUUAAUCACAAAACACAUGAUGUAGUUCCCUUUCCACAUUAUCUUUCUUGUGAAAGGGUUAGCAUAUGUAGUGUUUAGUUUGAGGGUUAGGGUAUAUUGGUGUAGUUAAAGUGUUUAGUGGUUUAUAUAUUUAGAAAUUGAUGUCUAAACUUAAAUUUAUAUUUUAGAAUCAUGAUUAUAAUUUUUUACAAAUUUUAGAUAUUUUUAAAAAUAUUUAUAAAUAACCAGAAACAUAAUUUCUCUUCUUUUUUUAAUAGCCAUCGAUUGAUAUCUCAGAUCAAAGGCCCAUAAUCCACCAUCCAUCAGCUAUCCUCGUUCUCUCUUCCCAUUGGUUGAUUAUUUUAAGGCAAGGAUCAUAAUCUUGUCCGUUCGUAAAUGUUAAUCUAACGGUUCAGAAUUGUUUUUUCUUUUAUCUCCUUCCUUCUCUCUCAGAACGUACGCCCACCGCAAACUAGGUUAGAGAGUUAUCUCAAACCACCACAAAUCUCUUUGUGACACCACGAGCCCACCUCGACCCACCACUAAUCACUGUCUACCCAUCACGAUUCCAUCUCAAACAACCAUGAUUCUCUCUUAAGUGACCUCGAUUUCUCUCUCUGGGUUUCCAUCGAACUCAUCCAUAUCAAAAGAUCCUUAUAGAUUCGAACCCUCACAGAUCUGGGUUGGGAACUUCUUCAAAGUCUAGAAACUCUAAUGGAAGGAAGGAAGAGCAUCGUAUGUGCACUGCCGGCAUCUGGAGUGAGACCACAACUACUCCAAAAACAAAAACCACAACAAGAAGCACUCAACAGAGAACAAGAACGAGGACAGUCCUCGGGAGGAAAUGAUGUGGAGGAGAUAACCAGAACAGAGUUCAGAACCUCUCUUGGCUACUUGACACGCAUUGAGGAACCUGAAGAAGACAUCGACCCAAUGUUCAGAAACUCAUCUCUUUUCAGACGCCCACCACAAGCACAAGGACAGUCCUCGCGAACCAAGUCUGGCCGUCAUUACUAAUUGUUGUUUAUGUAUGUUGUUUAUGUCUGUUGUUUAUGUAUGUGUUUUUUUGCUAUAUGAUGAAUCAAUUGUCAGCACA